AUUGAACGCUGGCGGCAGGCCUAACACAUGCAAGUCGAGCGGUAGAGAGGUGCUUGCAUCUCUUGAGAGCGGCGGACGGGUGAGUAAUGCCUAGGAAUCUGCCUAGUGGUGGGGGAUAACGUUCGGAAACGGACGCUAAUACCGCAUACGUCCUACGGGAGAAAGCGGGGGAUCUUCGGACCUCGCGCCAUUAGAUGAGCCUAGGUCGGAUUAGCUAGUUGGUGAGGUAAUGGCUCACCAAGGCGACGAUCCGUAACUGGUCUGAGAGGAUGAUCAGUCACACUGGAACUGAGACACGGUCCAGACUCCUACGGGAGGCAGCAGUGGGGAAUAUUGGACAAUGGGCGAAAGCCUGAUCCAGCCAUGCCGCGUGUGUGAAGAAGGUCUUCGGAUUGUAAAGCACUUUAAGUUGGGAGGAAGGGUAGUAACCUAAUACGUUGCUACUUUGACGUUACCGACAGAAUAAGCACCGGCUAACUUCGUGCCAGCAGCC
rnacentral:rRNA from 1 species